AUUGAACGCUGGCGGAAUGCUUUACACAUGCAAGUCGAACGGCAGCACGGACUUCGGUCUGGUGGCGAGUGGCGAACGGGUGAGUAAUACAUCGGAACGUGCCCAGUCGUGGGGGAUAACGUAGCGAAAGCUACGCUAAUACCGCAUACGAUCUACGGAUGAAAGCGGGGGAUCGCAAGACCUCGCGCGAUUGGAGCGGCCGAUGGCAGAUUAGGUAGUUGGUGGGGUAAAGGCUCACCAAGCCGACGAUCUGUAGCUGGUCUGAGAGGACGACCAGCCACACUGGGACGGAGACACGGCCCAGACUCCUACGGGAGGCAGCAGUGGGGAAUUUUGGACAAUGGGCGCAAGCCUGAUCCAGCCAUUCCGCGUGCAGGAUGAAGGCCCUCGGGUUGUAAACUGCUUUUGUACGGAACGAAAAGGCUCUGGUUAAUACCCGGGGCUCAUGACGGUACCGUAAGAAUAAGCACCGGCUAACUACGUGCCAGCCGCCGCGGUAAUAC
rnacentral:rRNA from 1 species